GACGAACGCUGGCGGCGUGCUUAACACAUGCAAAUCGAACGGAAAGGCCCUGCUUUUGUGGGGUGCUCGAGUGGCGAACGGGUGAGUAACACGUGAGUAACCUGCCCUUGACUUUGGGAUAACUUCAGGAAACUGGGGCUAAUACCGGAUAGGAGCUCCUGCUGCAUGGUGGGGGUUGGAAAGUUUCGGCGGUUGGGGAUGGACUCGCGGCUUAUCAGCUUGUUGGUGGGGUAGUGGCUUACCAAGGCUUUGACGGGUAGCCGGCCUGAGAGGGUGACCGGCCACAUUGGACUGAGAUACGGCCCAGUCUCCUACGGGAGGCAGCAGUGGGGAAUAUUGCACAAUGGGCGGAAGCCUGAUGCAGCAACGCCGCGUGCGGGAUGACGGCCUUCGGGUUGUAAACCGCUUUCGCCUGUGACGAAGCGUGAGUGACGGUAAUGGGUAAAGAAGCACCGGCUAACUACGUG
rnacentral:rRNA from 1 species